UACGUAGGGUGCAAGCGUUGUCCGGAAUUAUUGGGCGUAAAGAGCUCGUAGGCGGUUUGUUGCGUCGGCUGUGAAAUCCCGAGGCUCAACCUCGGGUCUGCAGUCGAUACGAGCAAACUAGAGUGUUGCAGGGGAGACUGGAAUUCCUGGUGUAGCGGUGAAAUGCGCAGAUAUCAGGAGGAACACCGGUGGCGAAGGCGGGUCUCUGGGGUAGUAA
rnacentral:rRNA from 1 species